rnacentral:rRNA from 1 species
GACGAACGCUGGCGGCGUGCCUAACACAUGCAAGUGGAGCGACGAACCAGGCUUCGGCCUGGGGCAGAGCCGCGAACGGGUGAGUAACACGUGGGUAACCUGCCCUGAUGAUUGGGACAACCCGAGGAAACUCGGGCUAAUACCAAAUGUGCCCUCCGACCAUAAGGUCGCUGGGGAAAGGAAGCUUCGGCCUCCGCAUCGGGAUGGGCCCGCGGCCCAUUAGCUUGUUGGUGAGGAAUGGCUCACCAAGGCAACGAUGGGUAGCUGGUCUGAGAGGACGAUCAGCCACACUGGGACUGAGACACGGCCCAGACUCCGUACGGGAGGCAGCAGUGGGGAAUCUUGCGCAAUGCGCGAAAGCGUGACGCAGCAACGCC